GCCGGUCACCACAUUGCAGGCAACGAGAAGAGUUGAGCCCUUCUGGGAGCCCACACCUUGGGGUUCCCCAAGCCAGGGCUGUGACAUGCUGUAACACCCUCUUUGGGACUCUGAGGUUGCUGGCAUCUCUGAGCUUUUGGGUUUUACCACGUUUCCCUUGCCCAGACACUGGUGCCUGCAGAAGCUGGUUGUGGUCCAUCUGGUCCAGCUGCAGCCUUGCACAGAGCCGGUGCCUGUAGCUGCUCACCCUGCUGCAGCAGCUGGUGUGCCUGGCUGGGCGCAGUGGCUGGAACCUGCACUCACUUGCUCACGCACCCCUCACCAGCCCAUGCCUGGCUCACCCUUGGCAGGUGUGGGAUCUGGGCCAGCAGCACAAGAUGAGCACAGCCUACUGGGCAGAGUGGGCAGAAUGAGCCCAGCAGGCAUGAGCAAAACUCCAGCAGAGGCGCUGCAGGCCAUGGAAGUUUCCAGCUGGUGAAGCGACAUCCUAAGAACUUUGUGACACUAUCCUUUCUUCUUGGUUUGCACACAUGGUUGAGGCAUGAAUUUCUAGUAAACUCAUGGUCACCUCCACCUA
ensembl:lncRNA novel transcript